rnacentral:rRNA from 1 species
CCUACGGGUGGCAGCAGUGAGGAAUAUUGGUCAAUGGACGCGAGUCUGAACCAGCCAAGUAGCGUGAAGGAUGACUGCCCUAUGGGUUGUAAACUUCUUUUAUAAAGGAAUAAAACGAGGCACGUGUGCCUUUUUGUAUGUACUUUAUGAAUAAGGAUCGGCUAACUCCGUGCCAGCAGCCGCGGUAAUACGGAGGAUCCGAGCGUUAUCCGGAUUUAUUGGGUUUAAAGGGAGCGUAGAUGGGUUUUUAAGUCAGUUGUGAAAGUUUGCGGCUCAACCGUAAAAUUGCAAUUGGUACUGGCAGUCUUGAGUACAGUUGAGGUAGGCGGAAUUCGUGGUGUAGCGGUGAAAUGCUUAGAUAUCACGAAGAACUCCGAUUGCGAAGGCAGCUUACUACACUGUCACUGACAUUGAUGCUCGAAAGUGUGGGUAUCAAACAGGAUUAGAUACCCUAGUAGUC